GUAACAAUUAGUUUCUAUGAAAUCUUUCACCCGGACAUUGUUCCAGCGGGCGCAAAAAUGUUUUCCACUUGGCUUGCAAUUCUGAUGCCCGGCUUAAACCCCUGGAUCAAUGCUUUGGCCCAAAGGAAAUAUAGAAAGGCUAUGCGAGAAAGUUGGCGGAAGCUGAAGAGGAUCUUUGAGAAUAUGGGAACAAACUGCGAGCCAACAAAUGAGAACGAGAGGCAGUCCAGCAUCCAGUCCCAUCAAUGUUUGCCAGGAAAUAAUGCAGUGAAUCUAGCUCAAACAUGAUAAGAAACAUAGAGCCUUCAAAAUACACAAAAUACAUAGCGUGGAGGUAGAAUCUAUGCAUAAAACCAAGACAAACUGAAAUUCAAGUCCACACCUGACUCCUGGUAUAAAAUGACUGCAAUGGUGUAUUUUUCAUUACGCUGGACACUUUAGUUCUAUCAAGAAAGCCAACAUAUGGUUUUGGACAAUGACAAAAAAAAAGUCAGUAAAGGAUUGCACUGGAUAAAAGCAGUGGGAAAACAUAAACAAACGCUUUCACGACAGAAAACAAAACGUUUAGCGAAAAUGCUGUGCUGGGAAAUGGGGAAGAUGACAUAACCCUACUAGAC